UUCCAUAGAUAGAGGCUUAUGUGUGCAAACACAUGCACAGUCGGAGUUCACUUCACUUUACGUAAGUGGGAUUAUUCUCUAUGCGCCAUUCUGCAGCAACCAUUAAAUUUAACAAGAUGUUUGGAGACCCAGCUGUGUUUGCAGGUCCUUCUGUGCCCGUGUGUGUGUGUUCCUCAGGCACGAGUACCUAGAAGUGGCGUCGGCAAGUCAAAGAAUGCACGCAGCAAACUUCACAGAUCCUCCCAUUCACCUUCAAAAAUCAUACAAUUCACAUUCUCGCCGUGAAGAUAAUACCUGCUUCCUCGCACCCUCCACGACACCGGCUAUGAGCAAUCUUUUUAAAGAUCUCUGAAAUUAAUGAAUAAAACAUAAUAUUGCAA